UACGGAGGAUGCAAGCGUUAUCCGGAUUCAUUGGGUUUAAAGGGUGCGUAGGCGGAACGAUAAGUCAGUGGUGAAAGCCCUCAGCUUAACUGAGGAACUGCCAUUGAUACUGUCGAUCUUGAGUACAUUUGAUGUGGGCGGAAUGUGUCAUGUAGCGGUGAAAUGCUUAGAUAUGACACAGAACACCGAUUGCGAAGGCAGCUCACAAAACUGUAACUGACGCUGAGGCACGAAAGCGUGGGGAGCAAACAGG
rnacentral:rRNA from 1 species